rnacentral:rRNA from 1 species
AGCUCCAAUAGCGUAUAUUAAAGUUGUUGCAGUUAAAAAGCUCGUAGUUGGAUUUCUGGGCGGAGCGACCGGUCCGCCGCUGUGCGGUGUGUACUUGUGUUCGCCUCUGCUCAUCCUUGCGGGGAAACUUCUUUCGGCAUUCAGUUGUCGGGUCGGGGAACCGCAUCCUUUACUGUGAAAAAAUUAGAGUGUUUAAAGCAGGCAAAUCGCUGUGAAUACAUUAGCAUGGAAUAAUAACAUAGGACUUUGGUUCUAUUUUGUUGGUUGGAGGCCAAGGUAAUGAUUAAUAGGGAUAGUUGGGGGUAUUCAUAUUUAAUUGUCAGAGGUGAAAUUCUUGGAUUUAUGAAAGAUGAACUCAUGCGAAAGCAUUUACCAAGGAUGUUU